UGUUGGGUUAAGUCCCGCAACGAGCGCAACCCUCGUUCUAUGUUGCUAGCACGUGAUGGUGGGAACUCAUAGGAGACUGCCGGGGUCAACUCGGAGGAAGGUGGGGAUGACGUCAAAUCAUCAUGCCCUUUAUGUCUUGGGCUUCACGCAUGCUACAAUGGCUGGUACAGAGAGAUGCGAGACCGCGAGGUUUUAGCGAAUCCCUUAAAGCCAGUCUCAGUUCGGAUCGUAGUCUGCAAUUCGACUACGUGAAGUCGGAGUCGCUAGUAAUCGCAGAUCAGCAACGCUGCGGUGAAUACGUUCCCGGGCCUUGUACACACCGCCCGUCAAGUCACGAAAGUCGGUAACACCCGAAGCCGGUGGCCCAACCCCUUGUGG
rnacentral:rRNA from 1 species